rnacentral:rRNA from 1 species
CCCUUAGAUGUUCUGGGCCGCACGCGCGCUACACUGACUGGUGCAACAAGUGUCGCUCCUUGGCCGAUAGGCCUGGGCAAUCUUUGAACGCCAGUCGUGAUGGGGAUAGAUUCUUGCAAUUUUUGAUCUUCAACGAGGAAUUCCUAGUAAACGCGAGUCAUCAACUCGCAUUGAUUACGUCCCUGCCCUUUGUACACACCGCCCGUCGCACCUACCGAUUGAAUGGUCCGGUGAACCCCCCGGAUCGGCCCGCGCCAACGCAAGUUGAGCAAAGGCCGAGAAGUUGGGUAAACCUUACCAUUUAGAGGAAGGUGAAGUCGUAACA